rnacentral:rRNA from 1 species
AUUGAACGCUGGCGGCAUGCCUUACACAUGCAAGUCGAACGGUAACAGGUCUUCGGAUGCUGACGAGUGGCGAACGGGUGAGUAAUACAUCGGAACGUGCCCGAUCGUGGGGGAUAACGAGGCGAAAGCUUUGCUAAUACCGCAUACGAUCUACGGAUGAAAGCGGGGGAUCUUCGGACCUCGCGCGGACGGAGCGGCCGAUGGCAGAUUAGGUAGUUGGUGGGAUAAAAGCUUACCAAGCCGACGAUCUGUAGCUGGUCUGAGAGGAUGAUCAGCCACACUGGGACUGAGACACGGCCCAGACUCCUACGGGAGGCAGCAGUGGGGAAUUUUGGACAAUGGGCGAAAGCCUGAUCCAGCCAUGCCGCGUGCAGGAUGAAGGCCUUCGGGUUGUAAACUGCUUUUGUACGGAACAAAAAGCCUCUUUCUAAUAAAGAGGGGUCAUGACGGUACCGUAAGAAUAAGCACCGGCUAACUACGUG